rnacentral:rRNA from 1 species
CAAUAUAUGAGACCGGCGCACGGGUGCGUAACGCGUAUGCAACCUACCUUUUACAGGGGGAUAGCCCAGAGAAAUUUGGAUUAAUACCCCAUGGUAUAUUUUAGUGGCAUCACUAGAUUAUUAAAGUUCCAACGGUAAAAGAUGGGCAUGCGUCCUAUUAGCUAGAUGGUAAGGUAACGGCUUACCAUGGCUACGAUAGGUAGGGGUCCUGAGAGGGAGAUCCCCCACACUGGUACUGAGACACGGACCAGACUCCUACGGGAGGCAGCAGUGAGGAAUAUUGGACAAUGGGCGCAAGCCUGAUCCAGCCAUGCCGCGUGCAGGAAGAAGCAUCUAUGGUGUGUAAACUGCUUUUGUACAGGAAGAAACACUCCCUCGUGAGGGAGCUUGACGGUACUGUAAGAAUAAGGAUCGGCUAACUCCGUGCCAGCAGCCGCGGUAAUACGGAGGAUCCAAGCGUUAUCCGGAAUCAUUGGGUUUAAAGGGUCCGUAGGCGGUUUGGUAAGUCAGUGGUGAAAGCCCAUCGCUCAACGGUGGAACGGCCAUUGAUACUGCCAGACUUGAAUUACUGGGAAGUAACUAGAAUAUGUAGUGUAGCGGUGAAAUGCUUAGAGAUUACGUGGAAUACCAAUUGCGAAGGCAG